GCAGUCGAGCGGGGAAGGGUAGCUUGCUACCUAACCUAGCGGCGGACGGGUGAGUAAUGCUUAGGAAUCUGCCUAUUAGUGGGGGACAACAUUCCGAAAGGAAUGCUAAUACCGCAUACGCCCUACGGGGGAAAGCAGGGGAUCUUCGGACCUUGCGCUAAUAGAUGAGCCUAAGUCAGAUUAGCUAGUUGGUGGGGUAAAGGCCUACCAAGGCGACGAUCUGUAGCGGGUCUGAGAGGAUGAUCCGCCACACUGGGACUGAGACACGGCCCAGACUCCUACGGGAGGCAGCAGUGGGGAAUAUUGGACAAUGGGCGAAAGCCUGAUCCAGCCAUGCCGCGUGUGUGAAGAAGGCCUUUUGGUUGUAAAGCACUUUAAGCGAGGAGGAGGCUACCGAGAUUAAUACUCUUGGAUAGUGGACGUUACUCGCAGAAUAAGCACCGGCUAACUCUGUGCCAGCAGCCGCGGUAAUACAGAGGGUGCGAGCGUUAAUCGGAUUUACUGGGCGUAAAGCGUGCGUAGGCGGCUUUUUAAGUCGGAUGUGAAAUCCCUGAGCUUAACUUAGGAAUUGCAUUCGAUACUGGGAAGCUAGAGUAUGGGAGAGGAUGGUAGAAUUCCAGGUGUAGCGGUGAAAUGCGUAGAGAUCUGGAGGAAUACCGAUGGCGAAGGCAGCCAUCUGGCCUAAUACUGACGCUGAGGUACGAAAGCAUGGGGAGCAAACA
rnacentral:rRNA from 1 species